GGUAAGUGCACGUUGGUGACUUUCAUCCAAUCUCCUGUGCACCUUUGGCCUCUUGCUAGCUUCGGCCGGCAGAGGAAUUUACACACACUCGAAUGUAAUGAAAUAUAUUGUCGUGCGCAAGCACUAAUGUACAACUUUCAACAACGGAUCUCUUGGCUCUCGCAUCGAUGAAGAACGCAGCGAAAUGCGAUAAGUAAUGUGAAUUGCAGAAUUCAGUGAAUCAUCGAAUCUUUGAACGCACCUUGCACCCUUUGGCAUUCCGAAGGGUAUGCUCGUUUGAGUGUCAUUGUACUCUCACACUCCCGAUCUUUGGGUCGGGAGCGGUGGACUUGGGUGUUGCUGCUUACCGUGGCUCACCUCAAAUGGAUUAGUGCACCUCUUGGUUGGACAUAGUACGGCGUGAUAAGUGUCUUCGCCGGCACCUCACUAGAGGGUGGCCGAUCGGGAGCUCUGUGCUUCAAACCGUCCUCGGACAACAACUGACAACUUGACCUCAAAUCGAGUAGGACUACCCGCUGAACUUAAGCAUAUCAA
rnacentral:rRNA from 1 species